rnacentral:rRNA from 1 species
CGGCGAACGGGUGAGUAACACGUGGGUGACCUGCCCUCCACUCUGGGAUAAGCCUGGGAAACUGGGUCUAAUACCGGAUAUGACUUCAUGCCGCAUGGUGUGGGGUGGAAAGCUUUAUGUGGUGGGGGAUGGACCCGCGGCCUAUCAGCUUGUUGGUGGGGUAAUGGCCUACCAAGGCGACGACGGGUAGCCGGCCUGAGAGGGCGACCGGCCACACUGGGACUGAGACACGGCCCAGACUCCUACGGGAGGCAGCAGUGGGGAAUAUUGCACAAUGGGCGAAAGCCUGAUGCAGCGACGCCGCGUGAGGGAUGACGGCCUUCGGGUUGUAAACCUCUUUCAGCAGGGACGAAGCGAGAGUGACGGUACCUGCAGAAGAAGCACCGGCCAACUACGUGCCAGCAGCCGCGGUAAUACGUAGGGUGCGAGCGUUGUCCGGAAUUACUGGGCGUAAAGAGCUCGUAGGCGGCUUGUCACGUCGGCUGUGAAAACCCAUCGCUCAACGGUGGGCUUGCAGUCGAUACGGGCUGACUUGAGUACUGCAGGGGAGACUGGAAUUCCUGGUGUAGCGGUGAAAUGCGCAGAUAUCAGGAGGAACACCGGUGGCGAAGGCGGGUCUCUGGGCAGUAACUGACGCUGAGGAGCGAAAGCGUGGGUAGCAAACAGGAUUAGAUACCCUGGUAGUCCACGCCGUAAACGGUGGGUGCUAGGUGUGGGUUUCCUUCCACGGGAUCCGUGCCGUAGCUAACGCAUUAAGCACCCCGCCUGGGGAGUACGGCCGCAAGGCUAAACUCAAAGGAAUUGACGGGGGCCCGCACAAGCGGCGGAGCAUGUGGAUUAAUUCGAUGCAACGCGAAGAACCUUACCAAGGCUUGACA